rnacentral:rRNA from 1 species
AUUGAACGCUGGCGGCAUGCCUUACACAUGCAAGUCGAACGGCAGCACGGGUGCUUGCACCUGGUGGCGAGUGGCGAACGGGUGAGUAAUACAUCGGAACAUGUCCUGUAAUGGGGGAUAGCCCGGCGAAAGCCGGAUUAAUACCGCAUACGAUCUACGGAUGAAAGCGGGGGACCUUCGGGCCUCGCGCUAUAGGGUUGGCCGAUGGCUGAUUAGCUAGUUGGUGGGGUAAAGGCCUACCAAGGCGACGAUCAGUAGCUGGUCUGAGAGGACGACCAGCCACACUGGGACUGAGACACGGCCCAGACUCCUACGGGAGGCAGCAGUGGGGAAUUUUGGACAAUGGGCGAAAGCCUGAUCCAGCAAUGCCGCGUGUGUGAAGAAGGCCUUCGGGUUGUAAAGCACUUUUGUCCGGAAAGAAAUCCUUGGCCCUAAUACGGUCGGGGGAUGACGGUACCGGAAGAAUAAGCACCGGCUAACUACGUG